rnacentral:rRNA from 1 species
CGGACGGGCGGCAGCUUACACAUGCAGUCGAGCGGAACGAUACCAGCUUGCUGGUAGGCGUCGAGCGGCGGACGGGUGAGUAAUACUUAGGAAUCUACCUAGUAGUGGGGGAUAGCUCGGGGAAACUCGAAUUAAUACCGCAUACGACCUACGGGAGAAAGGGGGCAGUUUACUGCUCUCGCUAUUAGAUGAGCCUAAGUCGGAUUAGCUAGAUGGUGGGGUAAAGGCCUACCAUGGCGACGAUCUGUAGCUGGUCUGAGAGGAUGAUCAGCCACACCGGGACUGAGACACGGCCCGGACUCCUACGGGAGGCAGCAGUGGGGAAUAUUGGACAAUGGGGGAAACCCUGAUCCAGCCAUGCCGCGUGUGUGAAGAAGGCCUUUUGGUUGUAAAGCACUUUAAGCAGUGAAGAAGACUCCUCGGUUAAUACCCGUGGACGAUGACAUUAGCUGCAGAAUAAGCACCGGCUAACUCUGUGCCAGCAGCCGCGGUAAUACAGAGGGUGCAAGCGUUAAUCGGAAUUACUGGGCGUAAAGCGAGCGUAGGUGGCUUGAUAAGUCAGAUGUGAAAUCCCCGGGCUUAACCUGGGAACUGCAUCUGAAACUGUUAGGCUAGAGUAGGUGAGAGGAAGGUAGAAUUCCAGGUGUAGCGGUGAAAUGCGUAGAGAUCUGGAGGAAUACCGAUGGCGAAGGCAGCCUUCUGGCAUCAUACUGACACUGAGGCUCGAAAGCGUGGGUAGCAAACAGGAUUAGAUACCCUGGUAGUCCGCGCCGUAAACGAUGUCUACUAGUCGUUGGGUCCCUUGAGGACUUAGUGACGCAGCUAACGCAAUAAGUAGACCGCCUGGGGAGUACGGCCGCAAGGUUAAAACUCAAAUGAAUUGACGGGGGCCCGCACAAGCGGUGGAGCAUGUGGUUUAUUCGAUGCACGCGAGACCUUACCUGGUCUUGACAUAUCUAGAAUCCUGCAGAGAUGCGGGAGGGCCUUCGGGAAUUAGAAUUACAGUG